UUCCGUGCUCUGGGUUCUCUCUUCUUUAUACCAAUUUGAAAUUUUUAUGAUGUUUCUUUGUGUAUCAGUGGUGAUGAAAAGGUUUACAAUUUGCUUAAUAUAAAUGCUACAACAAAGACUAUUGCCUAACUGUUUCAAUUGCAAGUAUACCAGAAUGAUCCUUUGACAAUGUAAAGAAUGAAAAUUGCUAAAAACCCUUGUAAAGUUCAUACCUUUGCAAACUCAGAGCUCUAUCACAAAGAACUCUGCGGAAACCAAGUCGGCAAAUGAGGGAAAGUACGAAAAAUUAAGGAAGCUUUGUUUGGUUGGAGAGGAAGAUUAAAGUGAAGUGGGGGCUUUCAGUAUUACGUUCAUGAAAAAUGGGGACUUUGAGAACUUGUAUGUGGUAGAGGAAUACAGUUGAUGCAAACAAUAAUCACCAUCUCAACUAUAUCCCUAAGGGGCUGAGUUAAAGAUCAUUUAGAGCCCUCAUUAUUGAUCUUCAUUUGCUUUGCUUUAAAAGAUGGCUCAAGGGAGAGGGAAGCGGAUAAGGAAGGUUAAGAAGGUUUCUCCACCUCAACAUCCAGCUACAACAACUGUGACAGAUAAUAUGUUAGCUACACCUACUGUGAGUGAGAAUGUGCCAGCAACAA